rnacentral:rRNA from 1 species
GUUGAUCCUGCCAGUAUUAUAUGCUGAUGUUAAAGAUUAAGCCAUGCAUGUGUAAGUUUAAAGACCUAGUAGGAUGAAACUGCGGACGGCUCAUUAUAACAGUAAUAGUUUCUUUGGUUAGUAAGUACAAGGAUAACUUUGUGAAUGAUAAAGCUAAUACUUGAGACGAUCUGGGGAGUACUUGUACUUUCCGGCCGGUGGUCGCGAGGCUGCCGAGAAAUGACAUUCUCUUGUGAAAAAGGAUGCCACGACAAUUGAAGAAAGCGACGCUUUUUACAAGUAACCAAUGGGAAUUUCUGAUCUAUCAAUUUGUUGGUAGUAUCGAGGACUACCAAGAUUAUAACGGAUAACGAGGAAUUGGGGUUCGACAUCGGAGAGGGAGCUUUACAGAUGGCUACCACUUCUAAGGAAGGCAGCAGGCGCGUAAAUUACCCACUUUCGACCCGAAGAGGUAGUGACGACAAAUAACUCUUGGCGCCCCUCGGGGUGACUUGAAGGAAUGAUUUAGAAGUAAAUUCUCUAAAGAAAUCAAUUGGAGGGCAAGUCUGGUGCCAGCAGCCGCGGUAAUUCCAGCUCCAAUAGUG